UACGUAGGGGGCAAGCGUUGUCCGGAAUCAUUGGGCGUAAAGAGCGUGUAGGCGGCCAGAUAAGUCCGUUGUGAAAGUCCAAGGCUCAACCUUUGAAAGCCGAUGGAUACUGCCGGGCUAGAGUCCGGAAGAGGCGAGUGGAAUUCCUGGUGUAGCGGUGGAAUGCGCAGAUAUCAGGAGGAACACCGAUAGCGAAGGCAGCUCGCUGGGACGGUACUGACGCUGAGGCGCGAAAGCGUGGGGAGCGAACAGG
rnacentral:rRNA from 1 species